GCUCCAAUAGCGUAUAUUAAAGUUGUUGUGGUUAAAAAGCUCGUAGUUGAACCUUGGGCCUGGCUGGCCGGUCCGCCCUCCCCGGGGUGUACUGGUCCGGCCGGGCCUUUUCCCUCUGUGGACCCUCAUGCCCUUCACUGGGUGUGUCGGGGAAACAGGACUUUUACUUUGAAAAAAUUAGAGUGUUCAAAGCAGGCCUAUGCUCGAAUACGUUAGCAUGGAAUAAUAGAAUAGGACGUGUGGUCCUAUUUUGUUGGUUUCUAGGCCGCCGUAAUGAUUAAUAGGGACAGUCGGGGGCAUCAGUAUUCAAUUGUCAGAGGUGAAAUUCUUGGAUUUAUUGAAGACUAACUACUGCGAAAGCAUUUGCCAAGGAUGUUUUCAUUAAUCAGGAACGAAAGUUAGGGGAUCGAAGA
rnacentral:rRNA from 1 species